GACGAACGCUGGCGGCGUGCUUAACACAUGCAAGUCGAACGGAAAGGCCUGCUUUCCCUUGUGGAUUGCGGGUACUCGAGUGGCGAACGGGUGAGUAACACGUGAGUGAUCUGCCCCCAACUUGGGUAUAAGCCUGGGAAACUGGGUCUAAUUCCCGAUAGGACUGCAGGGUGGUGCCUGUGGUGGAAAACGAUUUUCUAGUGGUUGGGGAUGAGCUCGCGGCCUAUCAGCUUGUUGGUGGGGUAAUGGCCUACCAAGGCGGCGACGGGUAGCCGGCCUGAGAGGGUGGACGGCCACAUUGGGACUGAGAUACGGCCCAUACUCCUACGGGAGGCAGCAGUGGGGAAUAUUGCACAAUGGGCGGAAGCCUGAUGCAGCGACGCCGCGUGGGGGAUGACGGCCUUCGGGUUGUAAACUCCUUUCGACCGCGAGGAAGCCACCUGGUUGGAAGGGUGGUGACGGUAGUGGUAGAAGAAGCACCGGCUAACUACGUG
rnacentral:rRNA from 1 species